GCUGGGUUGCUCGGCUGUAUGGGAGUUUGUCUCCCUUUCUUCUGGUAAAUUCUUGGAGUUAGAACACUGAGACAUGGGGAUCUGCUCUAUCCUCGUAUUGUUCCUGCACGAUGCUACUUCCAUUUGGCAAUGGUUCUGGUAGAUCUGUCCAUCUGAUCCACACACGGGAUCCCCAUCAUAGCCACAGUCUCUUGAGCACAUGCACUGCUCAAAAUACUCAUCCU
rnacentral:lncRNA from 1 species